GCCUACGGGGGGCAGCAGUGGGGAAUCUUGCGCAAUGGACGAAAGUCUGACGCAGCGACGCCGCGUGGGUGAUGAAGGCCUUCGGGUUGUAAAGCCCUGUGGGGAGAGACGAAUAAGUAGAGGCUAAUAUCCUCUAUGAUGACGGUAUCUCCUUAGCAAGCACCGGCUAACUCUGUGCCAGCAGCCGCGGUAAGACAGAGGGUGCAAACGUUGUUCGGAAUUACUGGGCGUAAAGCGUGUGUAGGCGGCCUCGUAAGUCAGGUGUGAAAGCCCCAGGCUCAACCUGGGAAGUGCACUUGAUACUGCGUGGCUCGAGUAUCGGAGAGGUUGGUGGAAUUCUCGGUGUAGAGGUGAAAUUCGUAGAUAUCGAGAGGAACACCGGUGGCGAAGGCGGCCAACUGGACGAAUACUGACGCUGAGACACGAAAGCGUGGGGAGCAAACAGGAUUAGAUACCCCCGUAGUCCA
rnacentral:rRNA from 1 species